ACUCACUGACCAAUGAAUGCA
rnacentral:miRNA from 1 species